rnacentral:rRNA from 1 species
GAUGAACGCUAGCGGCAGGCUUAAUACAUGCAAGUCGAGGGGCAGCACGCUUCGCAGCAAUGCGGGAUGGUGGCGACCGGCAAACGGGUGAGGAUCGCGUACACAACCUUCCCAGAGCAGGGGGAUAACCCGGGGAAACCCGGACUAAUACCCCGUUGCUUAUUUUGAAGGCAUCUUUGAGGUAUUAAAACUGGGGUGGGGUUGGAUGAGUGUGCGUCCCAUUAGGUAGUUGGCAGGGUAACGGCCUACCAAGCGUUUGAUGGGUAGCUGGUGUGAGAGGGUGACCGGCCACAGGGGGACUGACAUACGGGCGAGAGUGGUACGGGAGGCAGCAGUGGGGAAUAGUGCACAAAGGGCGGAAGCCUGAUGCAGCAACGGCGCGUGCGGGAUGACCGCCUUCUGGUUGUGAAGCGGAUAAGCGGGUUAUGAAGCGGGAGUGACGGUAGUGGGUAAAGAAGCACCGGCUAACUACGUG